rnacentral:rRNA from 1 species
UGCCAGCAGCCGCGGUAAUACGUAGGGUGCGAGCGUUAAUCGGAAUUACUGGGCGUAAAGGGUGCGCAGGCGGUUUUGUAAGUCAGAUGUGAAAUCCCCGGGCUUAACCUGGGAACUGCGUUUGAAACUACAAGACUAGAGUGCGGCAGAGGGGGGUGGAAUUCCAUGUGUAGCAGUGAAAUGCGUAGAGAUAUGGAAGAACAUCGAUGGCGAAGGCAACCCCCUGGGCUGACACUGACGCUCAGGCACGAAAGCGUGGGGAGCAAACAGGAUUAGAUACCCUGGUAGUCCACGCCCUAAACUAUGUCAACUAGUUGUCGGGCCUUAAUAGGCUUGGUAACGUAGCUAACGCGUGAAGUUGACCGCCUGGGGAGUACGGUCGCAAGAUUAAAACUUAAAGGAAUUGGCGGGGGAC